GCGCGCUUAGCUCAGUGGUAGAGCGUCUCUCUUACACAGAGAAGGUCGGGGGUUCGAUCCCCUCAGCGCGCACCA
rnacentral:tRNA from 1 species